CUUCUCUGUUGUGUGUUUUUAUUUUCUAGUGCAAAAGAAAAGCAAAAACCCACUAUUAAAAAUGAAGCCCUUUGAAUAAACUCAUCUUAGAUGCAGGAUGUUUGGCAUUGCAGCCAGUCACUCUGGAAAAGGAAGCCRAGGGAGAGCAGCAGUCUCAAAUACAUCUCUGAUGUGCGUUUUGCUGCAGAAGCCACGAGGGGCCACUGCAGCUCAGUGUGCCUGCCACCGAAGCCCCACUGGCUCUGGAGAACAACCUGGCCCACUGCUUCUGGCAACAGCUCAGCACACAGCUUGCAUGCAGUUAUGCAUAUGUUGUAACCAUGUGAAGUCUGUUGUGCUGGGAGGAAGCAUACCCUGGACUCAGCAGGACCUUGCCCACUGCUGUGGGGUGGAGGAAGCAGAAGGAUCCAGCCCCAGAAGAAUGUCACCUUUGCUGAAAUUUCAGUUUCAUCUCUUCUGAAUAAAUGAAGAAAGUGACUAUGAAAGCACAGCAUCUACCUUCUGUUUCCAUCAAUGAGGAGAAG
rnacentral:lncRNA from 1 species